CACGUAGGGGGCGAGCGUUGUCCGGAUUUAUUGGGCGUAAAGAGCUCGUAGGUGGCUCGGUAAGUCGGGUGUGAAAUUUCGAGGCUCAACCUCGAGACGCCACCUGAUACUGCUGUGGCUAGAGUCCGGUAGGGGAGCGUGGAAUUCCUGGUGUAGCGGUGAAAUGCGCAGAUAUCAGGAGGAACACCAAUGGCGAAGGCAGCUCGCUGGGACGGUACUGACGCUGAGACGCGAAAGCGUGGGGAGCAAACAGG
rnacentral:rRNA from 1 species